rnacentral:rRNA from 1 species
GACGAACGCUGGCGGCGUGCUUAACACAUGCAAGUCGAACGGAAAGGCCCUGCUUGCAGGGUGCUCGAGUGGCGAACGGGUGAGUAACACGUGGGUGAUCUGCCCCUUACUUUGGGAUAAGCCUGGGAAACUGGGUCUAAUACUGGAUAGGACCAUGCUGUAGGUGGUGUGGUGGAAAGAUUUUUUCGGUAAGGGAUGAGCUCGCGGCCUAUCAGCUUGUUGGUGGGGUAAUGGCCUACCAAGGCGUCGACGGGUAGCCGGCCUGAGAGGGUGGACGGCCACAUUGGGACUGAGAUACGGCCCAGACUCCUACGGGAGGCAGCAGUGGGGAAUAUUGCACAAUGGGCGCAAGCCUGAUGCAGCGACGCCGCGUGGGGGAUGACGGCCUUCGGGUUGUAAACUCCUUUCAGCCAUGACGAAGCCGCUGUUGGGGUGACGGUAGUGGUAGAAGAAGCACCGGCUAACUACGUG